rnacentral:lncRNA from 1 species
GGUGGUUUAGAUUUUAAGAAUGGUAUUUUAACUUAAAAAGUACUUAAUUUUUAUAUAUGUGUCAAUUAUCCUUUAUUUUUACAAUUAAAAUAUUGAAUUUAUAUCAAAAUUGGCCAAAGAAGAGUUAGAGUCGCAUCUUCAUCGACCUGGCAGGAGUGCCGUGACCUAGCGGCUCAUCAUGGCAGUAGUAUCUAGUCUCCUAGUGGAGUUUUUCGCUAGCUGGUGGGAGGACCGCGACUUGGCAUGAGGGCCGCGACUAGCGGAAGAGCUGCGACUGGCGAGAGGCAUCAUCCUUUUUCCUCGCGUCUGUUGCACUCGCGACUUCCCCACGAGCUCGCUGAUGGCUUGUGUCGAGUGGCCCGCGACCUCGCAACUGCUCUGUGACCUCGCGACUGGCGUGCAGUCCCUCAUUUGUUGCCUUGCGUCUUCCUUGCUCAUAAGUGUUGCUGCACCUUGUGUUGGUGUUCGAGCGGCCCGCGCCUCGCAACUGCUCUGUGGCUCGUGGAGGAUGCACGCCCCUCCUACCUUGUUGUGUCUGGCCUGCUUACGGCACCUUCCGCAGCUCGUGGCUCCUGCUGCUGCUGACUGCUGCUACAGGCCCAUGACCUUCUUGUCGUGCCUCUGCUAUGGGCAGGUGCGAGUUUUU